rnacentral:rRNA from 1 species
CCUACGGGUGGCUGCAGUGGGGAAUAUUGCACAAUGGGCGCAAGCCUGAUGCAGCCAUGCCGCGUGUGUGAAGAAGGCCUUCGGGUUGUAAAGCACUUUCAGCGGGGAGGAAGGCGGUGAGGUUAAUAACCUCAUCGAUUGACGUUACCCGCAGAAGAAGCACCGGCUAACUCCGUGCCAGCAGCCGCGGUAAUACGGAGGGUGCAAGCGUUAAUCGGAAUUACUGGGCGUAAAGCGCACGCAGGCGGUCUGUCAAGUCGGAUGUGAAAUCCCCGGGCUCAACCUGGGAACUACAUUCGAAACUGGCAGGCUAGAGUCUUGUAGAGGGGGGUAGAAUUCCAGGUGUAGCGGUGAAAUGCGUAGAGAUCUGGAGGAAUACCGGUGGCGAAGGCGGCCCCCUGGACAAAGACUGACGCUCAGGUGCGAAAGCGUGGGGAGCAAACAGGAUUAGAUACCCCAGUAGUC